ensembl:lncRNA
CCCCAGUACCCCCAACAGCCCAUCUCCAGUCCUCCAGUCCCCCCCCCAACAGCCCUACUCCAGUACCCCCCCAACAGCCCUACUCCAGUCCCCCAACAGCCCAACUCCAGUCCUCCAGUACCCCCAACAGCCCCCCCACAGCCCUCCAGUCCUCCAGUACCCUCAACAGCCCAACUCCAGUCCUCCAGUACCCCCAACAGCCCUACUCCAGUCCUCCAGUACCCCCAACAGCCCAACUCCAGACCUCCAUACCCCCCAACAGCCCAACUCCAGUCCUCCAGUACCCCCAACAGCCCAACUCCAGUCCUCCAGUACCCCCAACAGCCCAACUCUGGUCCUCCAGUACCCCCAAAAGCCCAACUCCAGUCCUCCAGUAACCUCAAAAGCCCACAUUAUUGUUGUAGCCCCAGAAAAACUCAGUUGAUUCAACUCAUUGAGCUGUUGGGAGUACUCGACAUCUGGAGUUGGGAAACACUGAUCUGUACUUUAUGGUGCACCAAUGGGUCCUAGACAAAAGUAGUCCACUAGGGAAUAUGUUUUUUUAAAUCUUGGAUGCACACUGGCUGCGUUUACGCAGGCGGAAAAUUCUGAUCUUUUGACCAAUCACAUCACAUUUUUUUUCUUCAGAGCUGGUCAAAAAAAAAAAGUAUUAGUGAAAAAUGAUCAGAAUUUGGCUGCCUGUGUAAAUGCAGCCGCUAUGUUAUUAUAUUAUUUAGACAAAAAAGCUCAACACCUUUCUACAAGUGCCAUUCCAUGCAGUACUGUCUCAUGCUUUUACAAAUCCAUACAAAUAGUCCAAAGUAUUUUCACCAAAAGUGUAAAAAAUGGAAGUCCAUCAGUGAAUGAUUGUAAUAUUCAUCUGACAUAGAUAACGAGUGAAUAGAUAUUCUACAAUAGAAUACGACCGCUGUAGAGUAGAUAGCCUAUAGCUACGUUGGUGCCCACCUACCUACUCACUCAGUCCCGUUGGAUGCUGCUGUAUGUAGCCUUGUGAUUAUGACUAUAACAGAACUGAUUUCUUCUAAUUCAUCAUUUGAAUAUGUUACAGUUAAAUUGUAAUAUUUUAUACAAGUGUCUGUUUUAUUUUAUGCCUUGCCUUCUGUGUGCCAAAACACCCCAAAAUGCCUCAGUUAUAUAUUUGUGAUGUACAUACAAGUUCAAUCCCACAACACCAUGGUUACGUCUCAAAUGGCAUCCUAUUCCCUUUGUAGUGCACUACUUGACAAUAGGGCACCAUUUGGGACAUUACCUAUGUUCAUUCACAUAAUUAUUUAACUGUUGAUAUUGCAGUAUGCAUUAUUAUCAUGUUAAUACCCAUAUAAUGUUAUUACCCAUAUCAUUUAUUACCCAUAUCAUUUAUUACCCAUAUCAUGUUAUUACCCAUAUCAUUUAUGACCCAUAUCAUGUUAUUACCCAUAUAAUUUAUGACCCAUAUCAUUUAUGACCCAUAUCAUGUUAAUUAAUACCCAUAUCAUUUAUUACCCAUAUCAUGUUAUGACCCAUAUCAUUUAAUACCCAUAUCAUGUUAAUACCCAUAUCAUGUUAUGACCCAUAUCAUGUUAUGACCCAUAUCAUUUAAUACCCAUAUCAUGUUUUGACCAUAUCAUUUAAUACCCAUAUCAUGUUAUGACCCAUAUCAUGUUAAUUAAUACCCAUAUCAUUUAUGACCCAUAUCAUGUUAUUACCCAUAUCAUUUAUGACCCAUAUCAUGUUAAUACCCAUAUCAUGUUAAUUAAUACCCAUAUCAUUUAUGACCCAUAUCAUGUUAAUACCCAUAUCAUGUUAAUACCCAUAUCAUUUAUUACCCAUAUCAUGUUAUUACCCAUAUCAUGUUAAUUAAUACCCAUAUCAUUUAUGACCCAUAUCAUGUUAUUACCCAUAUCAUUUAUGACCCAUAUCAUGUUAAUACCCAUAUCAUGUUAAUUAAUACCCAUAUCAUUUAUGACCCAUAUCAUGUUAAUACCCAUAUCAUGUUAAUACCCAUAUCAUUUAUUACCCAUAUCAUGUUAUUACCCAUAUCAUGUUAAUUAAUACCCAUAUCAUUUAUUACCCAUAUAAUUUAUGAUCCAUAUCAUUUAAUACCCAUAUCAUGUUAAUACCCAUAUCAUGUAUUACCCAUAUCAUGUUAUGACCCAUAUCAUGUUAAUUAAUACCCAUAUCAUGUAUUACCCAUAUCAUUUAUGACCCAUAUCAUUUAAUACCCAUAUCAUGUUAAUACCCAUAUCAUGUUAUGACCCAUAUCAUUUAAUACCCAUAUCAUGUUAUUACCCAUAUCAUUUAUUACCCAUAUCAUGUAUUACUGUAUGUUUGGCCAAUCAUCUGUUAAAAUUAUGUGUAACAUUUGUGGUGGUUGUAUGUAAGUGUUAUAACACAACCAAUCAUUGAUUGUUUGAUUACGGCAGAUGACUACUUCAGCACAUCAUCCCACAGCACUGAAUGUUCUGCAGAAAACAGUUUUGUGUGGCAUUGAUUUGUCAAUAUCUCUCUCUCUCUCUCUCUCUCCCUCUCUCCCUCUCCCUCCCUCUCUCCCCUCUCUCUCUCUCUCUCUCCCUCUCUACCUCUCUCCCUCUCUCUAUCUGUCUCUCUCUUUCUCUCCCUCUCUCCCUCUCUUCCUCUCUCUCCCCGUCUCCCCGUCUCCCUCUCUCCCUCUCUCUCUCUCUCUCUCUCUCUCUCUCUCCCUCUCCCCCUCUCUCUCUCUCUCUCUCUCCCCCUCUCUCCCUCUCUCCCCCCUCUCUCUCCCUCUCCCUCUCUCUCUCUCUCUCUCUCUCUCUCUCUCUCUCUCUCUCUCUCUCUCCCUCACUCUUUCAUUUCAUAUUUCAUAGAACUGUGUGCCUAUCAAUAAAACAGUGGGAAGUUGGAGGUUUUUUGGUGCUAUCAUUUAUGGAACUAAUUCCAAUGCUAUGGAUAUGAUGCCUGUAUUCGGUGCCUUUUUAGUAAUAAAACUGUUAAACACA